CCUAGGAAUUGACCAACUAGUCUUCCUUAUGGCUCGGGAAGACUAGAUAGUAAAAGUCCAUUAUCGUCCACACUAUUAUAUAUAUAUAUAUUUGCAUAGUAGAUGUAUAAUAAUAAUAUAUAUAUGAUUUUAUUAUUGUUGAUGAGACUCAUAAAUGCAAAAUCCCUCUAUAAAAUAUUAAGUCACAUUUGUAAUCGCCUUCCAUCAUUAUAGUGAAAAACCAGAGUCCCAAAUCGUCUCAGCUUGUUGAGUACACUCAAGGCUGGUCCAUUAGGGAUAUGUUUGACACUAUGAAAUAUUUGAUAUUUCUGAAUGAUGGGUUUGACUUAACUAAAAUUUAUCUUUUGUUGAGUACACUCAAGGAGAUAAAUUUUAGAGGCAAGUUAAGCUAACACAUAAGAUGUGUGAAAACAAAGAGUUGUCAGCUUAAUGAUCUGGGAGUUGUAUGGAGAUACAAUUGAUAAUAGUAUCUACCCAAAUAUAAUAUUAGGGCUUGUUGAGUACACUCAAGGUCUUAAUAUAAUAGAUGGGAUCCCAGCCCACUGGGAGUCAAGCAUGGACUCCAUAAAUUUAUGUGAGAGGGUCAUAAAUUUUAUUUAAACAGUGGGAGCAUAAUUAAUUUAAUAAAAGACCAUAUUAAAUUAAUUAAUGCAUUUUAUAUAUUUUAUUCUUUUCCUUUUCGUCAUUUACAUUUAUAUUGAAUCUGAGUAACCAUAUGUUUUGAAUGGCAUACUAGAUGCCAACAACAACCAAACUAUAUUUUCUUGAUUGACACUGCAAUUUGAGAAUUGUUCUUGUGCAUGAGAAAAUUGGUCACGUCCUUGAGUAGCCCUUUUCCAGAGACACCUGCUGAUGACUCGAUUGAAGAAGAGGUGGCUACUAUAGUAAACGCAGUGAUGAUAAUAGUACUGCAACGUAUAUGAUACUUGCAACUAUGUCACUGAAUUACAAAAACAACUUGAGAGUAUAGAUGUUAACACAUAAUUCUUCAUUACAAAAGGUUGUAUGAUAAUAAUUAUGUGUGGAAGGAUAUGAGACUUCCAAACAAUUAUACUGGUGCAAAAUGACAGAGUAAUCUUCAAUCGAUGCUUAGACACUGAAGAUGAUUGACAUUGAGAAAUGUCUCAACUGUGUUCAAUCAUAAAUAAUGAACUAAGUAGUGACUUGGUUCUGCAAUCUCUGUCAGAGAAAGCUAUUCAUAACUAAUUAUGAAUUUAACGUGAAUAAGCUUGAAUGCGCAAUUAUUGAGUUGCUUAACAUGCUUAGGACUGUUAACCCCUUUAUCGAAGCUGGUAAUGGGGAAACCAUUGAUUUCUUUAAAGAUAUUAAGAGGAAGUCUAAAGGGGCUUUGUGAAAGCACCCAAUAUGGUUAAGACAGUAUAAGCGAAAGGACAAAUACCAAAUCUAAUGACCCUUGGUUUCAUUAUAGAAUGAAAGGUCAUUAGAAGGAAUAUUGUAUGACUUACGUCUACUUCACGAGUUUCUUAGGUAUAUGAUACCAGAUGUAAAUAUCGUAUUUAUACAAAUAUGGAGAAACUAAAAGAAGUAGACCACUGCGAAAGGGAGAAGUUGACAUACACGUUGGAGAUGAGCAAAGGUUGCUACAUUACCUGUAUGAAUA
rnacentral:lncRNA from 1 species